UACAGAGGUCUCAAGCGUUGUUCGGAUUCAUUGGGCGUAAAGGGUGCGUAGGUGGCGCUGUAAGUCGGGUGUGAAAUUUCGGAGCUUAACUCCGAAACUGCAUUCGAUACUGCCUUGCUCGAGUACUGGAGAGGAGAUUGGAAUUUACGGUGUAGCAGUGAAAUGCGUAGAUAUCGUAAGGAAGACCAGUGGCGAAGGCGAAUCUCUGGACAGUUACUGACACUGAGGCACGAAGGCCAGGGGAGCAAACGGG
rnacentral:rRNA from 1 species